rfam:Papio anubis isolate 1X1155 chromosome 7, whole genome shotgun sequence.
UGGACCAAUGAUGACCACUGGUGGCGUAUGAGUUAUGCACAUGAAUACCAUGUUUCUAGAAUUCUGAGGUCCAA